UUCUCAUGCGGGAGAAAGGAUUCCGCUGGGGACUCCCUCGGGGUGCUCGGGGAAGGAUCCACUGUCCCUGCCGUACAGCCUGGUCGAGGACCAGGAUUCCAGGCCUGAGAAUUCAGCCCCCCUCUCCUGUGCCAAGAACAGUCCACCAGACGCAGCAUCUGUGGAAGAAUAUGGGCAUAUGUCCUACUUACGCAUGGAGAGGAAUAUAGAAGGAG